AGAGUUUGAUCCUGGCUCAGGAUGAACGCUAGCUACAGGCUUAACACAUGCAAGUCGAGGGGCAGCAUGGUCUUAGCUUGCUAAGGCCGAUGGCGACCGGCGCACGGGUGAGUAACACGUAUCCAACCUGCCGUCUACUCUUGGACAGCCUUCUGAAAGGAAGAUUAAUACAAGAUGGCAUCAUGAGUCCGCAUGUUCACAUGAUUAAAGGUAUUCCGGUAGACGAUGGGGAUGCGUUCCAUUAGAUAGUAGGCGGGGUAACGGCCCACCUAGUCUUCGAUGGAUAGGGGUUCUGAGAGGAAGGUCCCCCACAUUGGAACUGAGACACGGUCCAAACUCCUACGGGAGGCAGCAGUGAGGAAUAUUGGUCAAUGGGCGAGAGCCUGAACCAGCCAAGUAGCGUGAAGGACGACGGCCCUACGGGUUGUAAACUUCUUUUAUAAGGGAAUAAAGUUCGCCACGUGUGGUGUUUUGUAUGUACCUUAUGAAUAAGCAUCGGCUAAUUCCGUGCCAGCAGCCGCGGUAAUACGGAAGAUGCGAGCGUUAUCCGGAUUUAUUGGGUUUAAAGGGAGCGUAGGCGGGCUUUUAAGUCAGCGGUCAAAUGCCACGGCUCAACCGUGGCCAGCCGUUGAAACUGUAAGCCUUGAGUCUGCACAGGGCACAUGGAAUUCGUGGUGUAGCGGUGAAAUGCUUAGAUAUCACGAAGAACUCCGAUCGCGAAGGCAUUGUGCCGGGGCAGCACUGACGCUGAGGCUCGAAAGUGCGGGUAUCAAACAGGAUUAGAUACCCUGGUAGUCCGCACGGUAAACGAUGAAUGCUCGCUAUGGGCGAUAUAUUGUCCGUGGCCAAGCGAAAGCGUUAAGCAUUCCACCUGGGGAGUACGCCGGCAACGGUGAAACUCAAAGGAAUUGACGGGGGCCCGCACAAGCGGAGGAACAUGU
rnacentral:rRNA from 1 species